GUCCACGCCGUAAACGAUGAACACUAGGUGUGCGGGUCGAAUGAGAUCUGCGUGCCACAGCGAAAGCGUUAAGUGUUCCACCUGGGGAGUACGCCGGCAACGGUGAAACUCAAAGGAAUUGACGGGGGCCCGCACAAGCGGAGGAACAUGUGGUUUAAUUCGAUGAUACGCGAGGAACCUUACCCGGGCUCAAACGGCAGAGGAAAGUUUUUUGAAAGGAGGCUGCUCUUAGGAGUCUCUGCCGAGGUGCUGCAUGGUUGUCGU
rnacentral:rRNA from 1 species